AUUGAACGCUGGCGGCAUGCUUUACACAUGCAAGUCGAACGGUAACAGGCCUUCGGGUGCUGACGAGUGGCGAACGGGUGAGUAAUGCAUCGGAACGUACCCAGAGGUGGGGGAUAACGCAGCGAAAGCUGUGCUAAUACCGCAUGUGAUCUGAGGAUGAAAGCGGGGGACCGAGCAGCAAUGUUUGGCCUCGCGCCUUUGGAGCGGCCGAUGUCGGAUUAGCUAGUUGGUGGGGUAAAGGCCUACCAAGGCGACGAUCCGUAGCUGGUCUGAGAGGACGAUCGGCCACACUGGGACUGAGACACGGCCCAGACUCCUACGGGAGGCAGCAGUGGGGAAUUUUGGACAAUGGGCGCAAGCCUGAUCCAGCAAUGCCGCGUGAGGGAAGAAGGCCUUCGGGUUGUAAACCGCUUUUGGCAGGAAAGAACCGGUGUCCGCUAAUACCGGGCGCUAAUGACGGUACCUGCAGAAUAAGCACCGGCUAACUACGUG
rnacentral:rRNA from 1 species